AGUAGUAGUAGUAGUAGUAGUAGUAGUAGUAGUAGUAGUAGUAGUAGUAGUAGUAGUAGUUGUUGUUGUUGUUGUUGUGGCUGUUGUAAUAGUAGUAGUAGUUUUGCAGAAGUAGUAGUAGUAGUAGUAGUACUAGUAGUAGAAGUAAUAGUAGUAACUUUCAAAGCUAUGUCUACAAGUUUAAAUUCUUUAACCCUGUUCAAGGUGUAUACACACUCAAUAUUUAACUACAGUCCAGGUUUGCAAUUAACAAACUAUCUGAUAAACCUGUGUGUGAGUCAGAUAUGUCUGCUGCUAAUCUAUUGGUUAUAAAAUAUCACAGCCUUUUCUGAUUGGCUGAGUUCAAAUACAGAAAGUUUACCUGUUAGAUUGAAAUUCUGGCGUAUUGUAGAAAAAUUGCAGGUUAAACUUGUUGUUAAAAUGAAGUUAAUGUAAUGUUCACAAACAGUAGAGUUAAUGAGUUUUUCCAUUAACAAGAAUUUCUUAAAAUAAUAAUGUAUGGAUAUCAUUUGGAAAGUGACAUGAAAUGUUGUUAAAAAGUGAUGCAUACAAGUGUUUCAGAAGUCUGUCUAGGAAUAGAACAACAACUGAAGCUGACCAGUUGAUGGAAGAUACUGCAGAGUUUGGCAGGGAAAUAACCCAAGACAGCAAAGCGGCUCUUUUGGCGCAUUUACCAAGAGGACUAACAUGGCCACAAAUUCAUGAGAUCAUGCAGGAGCCGUACAGUAUAACAGCAGUACAAGUUCUAUAAAAGAUCCACCACCUACUGAAGCCCAGCUAAUUAACAAAAAAGUUUUUAAAAACUGUAAUUUUAUCCCACCUGGGUACUUAUAAUUUACUAAGCUGCCUUCACAAGUUUUAGACUUGCAAUUAUAUUUUAAACUGUCACUUGGAAAGUAAUACAUGUACAUGCAUUAUGUUCUGAAUUUCUUUGAACAAUAAAAUUAUAUAAAAGUAUUUUAAUGAAAUUGAGCACCUAAAUUGCAUUAAAGUGAAAGUA